GGGAUGGUGGUAUAAUAGCUACCGCAUCUGCUUAAUAAGCAGAAGGUCAUGGGUUCAAUUCCAGGCCCGUCCCU
rnacentral:tRNA from 1 species